rnacentral:rRNA from 1 species
AUUGAACGCUGGCGGCAUGCCUAACACAUGCAAGUCGAGCGAGCGCCGGGCGGGUGAGUACUGUCUGGGAAACCGCCUGACGGAGACGGAUAAAUGCUGGAAACGGUUGCGAAUCCCGCACACCAUCAGCUGUGCCCAGAUGGGAUUAGCUAGAAGGGGGGGUAACUGCUCACCUAGGCGACGAUCCCUUGCUGGUCUGAGAGGAUGACCAGCCACACUGGAACUGAGACACGGGCAAGACUCCUACGGGAGGCAGCAGUGGGGAAGAUUGGACAAUGGACGCAAGCCUGAUGCAGCAAUGCCGCGUGUGUGAAGAAGGCUGUCGGGUUGUAAAGCACUUUCAGCGGGGAGGCGUUACCCGCAGAAGAAGCACCGGCUAACUCCGUGCCAGCCGCCGCGGUAAUAC